rnacentral:misc_RNA from 1 species
AAGUCGUAACAAGGUUUCCGUAGGUGAACCUGCGGAAGGAUCAUUAACACGUAUCCAACGUUAAACCCCCCUGUGAACAUUUAGCUUGCUCUCGUAGCCCGCCAGCAUUGCAAUCCCUGGUAAAUCAUUGUCAAACAGGUUUUGAUUCAGGGACGUCAGUCUGGUGAGAAACUACAGUUACGAUUGAGCGAUCGUUGCAAGUGGCCUGGUUUCCCCAAGCAGUCGGUGUCUGAAAGCGUCACUGAUUGUGUAAGGAUAACGCUUUUCGAUCACUAGAGGCCGACACCGGCCGGUGACCAGGUCGCCGUGGCUUCGGCCCCCUAUAUUUACCCCACUACCUUCACCCCGCCUCGUAGGAAACUGCUGGGCAUCAACCGAACAACUGUUAACAAUGGAUAUCUUGGUUCUC